rnacentral:rRNA from 1 species
UACGAGGGGGGCUAGCGUUGUUCGGAUUUACUGGGCGUAAAGCGCACGUAGGCGGGUCGUUAAGUCAGGGGUGAAAUCCCGGAGCUCAACUCCGGAACUGCCUUUGAUACUGGCGACCUUGAGGCUGGAAGAGGUUAGUGGAAUUCCCAGUGUAGAGGUGAAAUUCGUAGAUAUUGGGAAGAACACCAGUGGCGAAGGCGGCUAACUGGUCCAGAUCUGACGCUGAGGUGCGAAAGCGUGGGGAGCAAACAGG